AAAAUGGAGAGUUUGAUCCUGGCUCAGGAUGAACGCUGGCGGUAUGCUUAACACAUGCAAGUCGAACGGUCUCUUCGGAGAUAGUGGCGGACGGGUGAGUAACGCGUGAGAAUCUAGCUCUAGGUCGGGGACAACCACUGGAAACGGUGGCUAAUACCGGAUGUGCCGGAAGGUGAAAGAUUUAUUGCCUAGAGAUGAGCUCGCGUCUGAUUAGCUAGUAGGUGUGGUAAGAGCGCACCUAGGCGACGAUCAGUAGCUGGUCUGAGAGGAUGAUCAGCCACACUGGGACUGAGACACGGCCCAGACUCCUACGGGAGGC
rnacentral:rRNA from 1 species